rnacentral:ribozyme from 1 species
AACAGCCCUACUCUGUGGGAGAGCUUUCAGACUGCCGAGAAGGCCUCUUCCGUUGUGAAGUUGAAAUCGUUCGCCCCCUAUGGAAGUACCACUGAGGCUGUGGUUGCCGCCACUAGCAUCAUUGAGAGUACAUUGGAUAAGGG